rnacentral:lncRNA from 1 species
UGCCACCCAGGCUGAGCAGCAGCCAAGUGUCUGCGGUGAAACCUCAAGCGAGCGCCAGGGAUGAUGGAGCCUGUCAGGUUUUUAACAAGUGCACAGAAGAUUAUUUUAGUUUGCCUUUUGUAAUGACAAGUACACCAAGCCAUGGUGAAGUCACAGAUCCAGAUCCUGUUUCACAGAAAAUAAAUUUUUUGCCUGGGGUAGAAGAAGAG